GUGCCUGUGCCUGCAGGGCCCUGGCAGCAUGUCCUGUCUGAUAGGAUACCAAAGGAAAGGCAUGUUCUUAUGCCAGAGUCAAUACCAGGCCUGAAAAGAAUCCUGACAUCAUCAUGGAUGAGAGUGAAAUGGGAAUUAGGUCCACAUUAAUUGUAUGAUGGGACUUGAAUAGUUCAGGACUCAGUUUCACCAGUCGGCAGCAAUAUUCUCUAGUAUCAUUGUCAGGGUAACUGUCUUCUCACACCAGAUGCCUCUCUCAACCACAAGGUGGUUAUCUUGACACCAUUUCUGUCCACUGACCACACUUGAAGAAAAUUUUGCUGUUACUAAUAUGCUCAAAGGAAAAAAUAUACAUUGAGUGGCAUGUCACAGGUGAAUCCCGAGUGCCCUCAUUAUAUUAGAUGCUCCAGCUGUUACACAGUGCAUCACACAGUUAUUGGCAAUAUCCUGCAUCUCUCCAAUUAAUAUAUGUUUAUUGUAAUAUUCACUGCUGUGAGAUCUGCAUUUGUAAGAUUAAGAGAUUGUAACUCAUUGAUUGGUAUUAUUAAAAUGCAUUUCAUCUGGUGUAUUCUCACUCAGCAGGUUUGACAUAUUUCUUUAAGGAUUUUAAAAUCCAGUUUUAAAAUCUGGAAUUAUUGGAGGUAGAUUUCCACUGUGUGGAAUGUGAAUAGUUAAACAGAAAGAUAUGGCUAUUUAAUGUUAUUGAUACAAAUCCUCUUUCACUGAUAACAGGCAGGGGUUGUUUUCACUUAAAUUACCUUUUUGAGUUGGUUUGCAGGGGAAAGGGUCAAUCCCAGUUGUUGAUGAAAGUUUCAUUGCUGAAAGUUUUGUACUAGCUAGGGUUUCUGUUCAAGAAAUGGGAGCACCUUAAGAAUGAAUUUUUCCCUUCAUGUGAAGUUGACAGCAAAACUCCCAUUGUAUUUUACAGUGACCACUAUGUCCCUAAACCCUUAGCCACUAAGCAAAGCUUUAGACAUUACUUACUCCUUUAUUUAAGAUUAGGCUAGCAUUCUGAAGGAAAAUCGAUAGAAGUUUUAGAAAUUUUAGUUUUUAUGUUCCAAAACAGCUCAUGCAUAGAUCACAAUGGAACUCCCCUUGAGGCAGAUUCCCUCCCCCCAAUAUAUAAAUUUUAUACAAAGAACUUCUAUGAAUUGCUAGUUAUUGCCCGAGAGUAAGAAAGUUCUGCUAACUUACAAUUAUACAAGAUAUUUAAUAUCAACCAUUUAAAUGUCUGCUUUAUUCUAAAAACAAUGGACUAUAUAACCUAAGGCUGCAGUAUUUUCAUGCUCGGUCUCACAAAGCAAAACUUGGUUUAAAAUGAAGUUUUAAUUAUUUUGUAACUGAAUAGAAUUGGAGUUUUUUCUUCCCAGCAUUUUGUACGUCAUUUUAACUACUAGUAACAAAUAAAUAAAAUAUCUUCUCCAGCCCA